GCUUGUCUCAAAGAUUAAGCCAUGCAUGUGUAAGUUUAAAUAAAUCUAAACUGUGAAACUGCGAAUGGCUCAUUAUAUCAGUUAUAGUUUAUUUGAUAGUACCUUACUACUUGGAUAACCGUAGUAAUUCUAGAGCUAAUACAUGCGCAAAAACCCGACUUCUGGAAGGGUUGUAUUUAUUAGAUUAAAACCAAUUCGUUUUCGGACGAUAUUGUGGUGAGUCAUAAUAACUUAUCGGAUCGCAGUGGCUUUGCCGGCGAUGAAUCAUUCAAAUUUCUGCCCUAUCAACUUUCGAUGGUAAGGUAUUGGCUUACCAUGGUUACAACGGGUAACGGGGAAUUAGGGUUCGAUUCCGGAGAGGGGGCCUGAGAAAUGGCCACCACUUCCAAGGAAGGCAGCAGG
rnacentral:rRNA from 1 species